rnacentral:lncRNA from 1 species
AUUCCAACAGUCAAAAAUCAUUUAAAGUAAAUUAUUAUAUUAUUCAUAAUAUUUAUUAACAAAUUAUUAAUACGCAUUACAUUUUGGUUUAUAGCAAAAUGAAACCUUACAAAUCGACGCUAGAGAUAUUAAGUAUGCUAAUAAUUAUGCUCCUAAUAAUCAUGAAAAAUCAUACUUGAACAAUCCAGUUGCAUUUAUGAAAAGUGAUGCUAAAUCAGGUAUUUAUAUAUUUAAAUAAAACUUCUAGUUACAUUUAUUCACUUUUCAAUAAUUCUUUUGUUUUUAUUAGAAUAUAAUCAUAAAAGAAAACAUUUAUCGUCUGAAGAUAGUUCAGAUAGUGACAGUAAUAACUGUUUUUCAAACUAUAGUAAACGAUUAAAGGGAGAUAAGUUUGAUGGUGCUUCUUGUUCCAAAUCACUUGAUUCCGAUUCAAAUAUAUCGGAUGACUCACUUUCAAUAACUAAACAAAAUGUAGAAAAUACUGAAAAAAGUGGCAACAAAGGAAUGUCUUUAAUGGUAACUAUUUAAAUGAGAUGGGAAGAUACAGUUAAGAGUAAAGUUGAAGGAUUUGUAGGCUGACCAAACUAGAAGGUUUUGCUAAUGAAUAGAGAUAGAUCGAGAAUUGAUUGUAAGACGGGAUAGUCCUAGUGGCAACAGGCCCCCACCCCCAAAAAAAAUAAAAAUAAAUUUAAAUUGAUUUAUAACUAUUACACUUUUAAUGAGAAAUAACAUAAUUAUACAUAUAUCUUUUUAUUUCUAGAAAAAAAUUGGUUAUAAAGAAGGUGAAGGACUAGGGAAAAAUGCACAAGGAUUGGUUGAUCCAGUACAGUUACCUACUCAAAAAGGUCGUAGAGGUUUGGGUUUUGCAUCACGAGAACCUAGAGAAUCAUUCGUUUUGGAUUGGGAUCCCGAACAAGAAGAAGUAAAUAUAAAUUUUAAAACUGAAGAAAAUAACU